GCCGGGUGCAGUGGCAUGCACCUGCGGUCCCAGUUGUUCAGGAGGCUGAGGCAGAAGACCGCUUGAGGACAGGAGUUCUGGGCUGCAGUGCGCUGUGCCGACCGGGUAUCCGUGCAAAGUUCAGCAUCCAUGUGGGGGCCUCUCAGAGCGGGGGAACACCAAGGUGCCUAGGGAGGGGUGAACCAGCCCAGGUGGGAAAUGGAGCAGGUCAGAGCUGAUCGGUAGUAGGCUGGCACGGGGAAUAGUCACUGUGCUCCAGCCUGGGAACCACAGCGAGACCCCAUCUCUU
rnacentral:SRP_RNA from 1 species